rnacentral:rRNA from 1 species
GAUGAACGCUGGCGGCGUGCCUAAUACAUGCAAGUCGAGCGAACGGACGAGAAGCUUGCUUCUCUGAUGUUAGCCGCGGACGGGUGAGUCACACGUGGAUAACCUACCUAUAAGACUGGGAUAACUUCGGGAAACCGGAGCUAAUACCGGAUAAUCUUUUGAACCGCAUUGUUCAAAAGUGAAAGACGGUGUUGCUGUCACUUAUAGAUGGAUCCGCGCUGCAUUAGCUAGUUGUUAAGGUAACGGCUUACCAAGGCAACGAUGCAUAGCCGACCUGAGAGGGAGGUCGGCCACACUGGAACUGAGACGGGGUCCAGACUCCUGCGGGAGGCAGCAGUAGGGAAUCUUACGCAAUGGUCGAAAGCCUGACGGAGCAACGCCGAGUGAGUGAUGAAGGUCUUCGGAUCGUAAAGCUCUGUUAUUAGGGAAGAACAUAUGUGUAAUUAACUGUGGAGAGCUUGACGGUACCUAAUCAGAAAGCCACGGCUAACUACGUG